rnacentral:snoRNA from 1 species
UGGAUCUGUGAUCAUCACUGUUGCCGUAUGAGUUGUUGAUCAUGACUACAGGUCUGGGAGUCUGAGGUCCAC